rnacentral:rRNA from 1 species
GAUGAACGCUAGCGGCAGGCUUAACACAUGCAAGUCGAGGGGUAGAAGUUGCUUGCAACUUUGAGACCGGCGCACGGGUGCGUAACGCGUAUGCAAUCUACCUUAUACAGAGGGAUAGCCCAGAGAAAUUUGGAUUAAUACCUCAUAGUAUAAUUGAAUGGCAUCAUUUAAUUAUUAAAGUUCCAACGGUAUAAGAUGAGCAUGCGUCCUAUUAGCUAGAUGGUAAGGUAACGGCUUACCAUGGCAACGAUAGGUAGGGGUCCUGAGAGGGAGAUCCCCCACACUGGUACUGAGACACGGACCAGACUCCUACGGGAGGCAGCAGUGAGGAAUAUUGGACAAUGGGCGCAAGCCUGAUCCAGCCAUGCCGCGUGCAGGAAGAAGCAUCUAUGGUGUGUAAACUGCUUUUGUACGGGAAGAAACACUCCUUCGUGAAGGAGCUUGACGGUACCGUAAGAAUAAGGAUCGGCUAACUCCGUGCCAGCCGCCGCGGUAAUAC